AUUGUACUGCUACGCUGUUUGGCACCAACACCUUCAGGGACUGGAGCUGCUUUUUUCCUUGGAGGAGUUCCCAGUGACGCUGAGAUGCACAGCACAGUGCAGCUUUGGCUCAUAUUCAGUCAUCUCAGGAGAACUUCAGAGGAGCUUGACUAGGCCAAAUGUUGAAGUUAAGUUUUCAAAUAAUGUGACUUUUAAGAUACCUUUUAUUAAAGGGGAGGGGCACAUUUUGGCAAUUAGUUGGCAGUGGCUUAUCAUGGUUGGGAUUGGGAGGGUUGGGUUUAGGUAAUUGUUUAGUUUAUGAUUUCAGAUAACUCAUACCAGAGAACUUAAAUACUUAGGAUGGAAAACUAAAGAACUCUCAACUUCCAAGUUGGCAAGUAACUCCCAAUUUUCUAGUUUUCUGUUUUUCCCCAGUUUUUGAAUUUGACAGCUGGGGAAGUUCAUGAAGAUUGACUGGAUUUAAAGUGUAGGGCUUGGGGAAGGAAAAUGGUGGACUGGGGGUUGGUCUAGCCCACUGGGCUGCCUUAGAUUAAAAACUUGGGAAUUUUUAAAAUGCUUAAGUUGUUUGCAUAUGGUAGUGUGUGGUUCUCUUUUGGAAUUUUUUUCAGGUGGUUUAAUAACUUAAUACUACUAUAGGAGCUUCAGAGCAAAGGAAGUGGCUUAAUGAUCCUGAAGGGAUUUCUUCUGAUGGUAGCUUUUAUAUUAUCAAACUUUUUUCAGAUAACAUCUUCUGAGUCAUAACCAGCCUGGCAGUAUGAUGGCCUAGAUGGAGAGGGGAACAGCUCCUUGGUGAAUGAUAAGUAAAGGCAGAAAAGAUUAUAUUUCAUACCUACAUGGGGGAAAAAGCAUAACCCUGAGAUCCUUAACUACUGAUGAACACAUUGUCUGCAUAUGCAAAAAAAAAAAAUUAAGCAAAUGAAAGCUACCAAUUUAAAGUUAAUGGAAUCUACCACUUUAAAGUUUGGCUUAUCAAGCUGUAUCCACAAAAAUAAUGAAUUGAUGAGGAAUAAUGAAAUGAUGAGAAAUACAAUGAAGAUCAAAUGUCCAUCUCAAUACUGCUUUUACAAAAGCAGAAUAAAAAAGCGAAAUGAAAUGAAAAUGAUAAUGCUACACGUUAAUCCUGGAAUAAAAGAAGCUGAAAUAAUUGAAAGGAGUGGGAUCAAGUGGAUUGAGAGGAGGCUGUGCCGUUUGCCAAUCUUUCGUUUGCCUCAGACAGGUUUCUCAUUAUCAGAAGAGUUGCUUCAUUUCAUCUGGGAGCAGAAAACAGCAGGCAGCUGUUAACAGAUAAGUUUAACUUGUAUCUGCAGUAUUGCAUGAUAGGGAUAAGUGCUUACCUUUGCUAAGAGCUGUGGAGGUCCUAGGUCCCUUACCUAAGGGAUUCCGGGAUUGUGAGGGAUUUUCCUAUCCAGCCUUUUAAAAUUAGACAGGACUUGGUGUGCCUGUGGGCUUCCAUGAUGAGUUAGCACACUUCACUCAGAGGCUAGUAAUUCCUUAAAGCCUCUUGAGAUUAAUAAAGGUAAUGUGUAUAAUACUAAGAACAUUUGUUUAGCAUUGAAUCUCUCAAAAGCCUAUUAAAGGGUAGCAUAAUGUGCUGUUAACCAGAAUUCAGAUUGUUAAUCUUGCUAAAAUUUAAAUGUUAUGUGUAUUGUGCAGAAAACCGUUAAAUUAUUCAAAAUAAAAUACUUUUAGAGAAUGUA